rnacentral:rRNA from 1 species
CCUACGGGUGGCUGCAGUGGGGAAUAUUGGACAAUGGGCGAAAGCCUGAUCCAGCCAUGCCGCGUGUGUGAAGAAGGCCUUCGGGUUGUAAAGCACUUUCAGUGGGGAAGAAAGCCUUGGGGCUAAUACCCUCGAGGAAGGACAUCACCCACAGAAGAAGCACCGGCUAACUCCGUGCCAGCAGCCGCGGUAAUACGGAGGGUGCGAGCGUUAAUCGGAAUUACUGGGCGUAAAGCGCGCGUAGGCGGUCUGAUAAGCCGGUUGUGAAAGCCCCGGGCUCAACCUGGGAACGGCAUCCGGAACUGUCAGGCUAGAGUGCAGGAGAGGAAGGUAGAAUUCCCGGUGUAGCGGUGAAAUGCGUAGAGAUCGGGAGGAAUACCAGUGGCGAAGGCGGCCUUCUGGACUGACACUGACGCUGAGGUGCGAAAGCGUGGGUAGCAAACAGGAUUAGAUACCCUGGUAUC